UUUUUUUUAUCGUUUAUUAAAAACGUAUCGGUUUGUUUACUUAAGAAUAAUUAUUGAAAUAACUAUUUUUGUUUUUCGUUUUUAAAAACAUUUUUCAAGUAAUAAUUUUGUGAAGCGGAACUAUUGUUAGCGAGGAGCGGAACGCUAUCGAGGAGGCACAGCGUGUUCCCCGGCAACUCAUCGAGAGAAAGAUGAAGAGAGUGUGGCGGCUGUAAUCAACAAGAAGCUAAUAGACAUGGACGAACGGGAGCGGCUAGAAGAACUUCUCAGGGGAAAGUUAGUGGAGUGGCGAUGGAAGGAUGAGCUAAAAGCCCAUUGUAAAGAUGUGAUGAGAGAAAAAGGCUGAGAACAUGUCACAGUAGAGGACUUAGUAACAGAAAUCACACCUAAAGGCAGAGCACUUGUACCGGUCAGUGCAAAGAAAGAGCUCCUGCAGACAAUCGGAGCGUUUCUAGCUCAACAUGCCACAUUGUGACACGUGCCUCACAUAAACAUUUAGUCCCGUGGAUCCAUGUGAUUGUGAGGAGAAUCAUUUCUUGUCAUUCUUUGCAAGUAUAUUUCAGGGGUUUAACAGUAACUACUGCCAGUAUUGCAUAUCUUAACUUAUGGGUUCACACACAAUCUUCAAGAUUUAAGAUCAGCAGGAAAUCAUUCGUCAGAUUUGAGUGACACAAGCAUCCAUAUACACUUAGCUAUUCCUUUAACUUAAAUAAAACAUCUCACUUUUACCACAUCCUGCUUGCCUUUAAUAGUCUGAUGUUUUGCUGUGUUCUAUUGUGGAGCUGAACCAGGACCAAACAUGAGCAAUUAUCUCAUAUCCCUUUUUUAAAAUAUUUGUGAAAUUGGAAAAAAAAAAAAAAGAUUAAAUAAAUAUUUAGGUCUGAUGAGAAAUAUUAUUUUGGUACUAAUGAAGAAAAUAAUUGCUAAAGAAAUGUUUUAAAAUACAGCUUCAAAAAUUCAAUUUCAAGUGGAAUCUAGAGUAUUUAAAUGAAGGGUUAUGGAGAAGAAAUGAGGACAUAAAUCCUUAGACAUCCAUCACUCGUUUCAUCAUAAAAAAAUAGCAAAAAAAAACGUAACCUUUCACUCAUUAACCAGAUUUUGUAUCAAAAAGUAUUAAUUAAGUAAAGUAAGUAAUUUCAAGUGUAUUUCAAUUUCACCAUGUUAGAAAAGGUAAUAAGUUAUUUUUUGUAAUGUGACUUAACAAAACCUAUUUGGCGAUUCCUGACUAAUGAUGGACCACUAUAUUUUACAUUUAUCUUUUCUUCCAAAAUAAAAUCAUGCCUAUUUUGGUGACAAGCCUCCUGGUGUCUUCUUUCCUGCGCCUCACCCGACAUGUCUGCAAUUAUUUUGGCUUAAAAUAGCUAAGAAUGACGGAAAUGUGUUGCUUUUUUACGAAGACAAAUCUUGCUUGACAUGAGUCAUGUUUGUUAAUCUCCACAUAGGCGGGACCUCUGUAUGUUUUCCAGUCCUAUCGAUCAUAUGAAAGACAUUAAUAUAUGCAUGUAAGAAUUUCUUGUUUCAUCACCUGUUCUCACUGAAACCUGUGGGGCAACAUAUCUUCUGUUUUUUUGUCUUCUUUGCGUGAUGACAUGGUUCGUGAGAACAUGAAGGUGUUGUGACAGUGAUGGGUAAGUGUUUCCAUCAUAGCUGGGAUUGCUGGUACAUUUGUCGCGAGUGCUGUCGAUCAAGUCAGUGAGGUCCUGUGGCCAUUUCUUAGCCUGUAAUUGCGGGUCCUACGUAUUGACUGGAUUAAGGUGAUUGCUGCUCUGUCUGCGGGAACAGCGACAAAAAUAGUUGAAGAACAUGUUUUUUUAAACUGUUACUGAACAACAGCUUUUGUAAGCUGAAUGUCAGGGUUCACCACCAGGU